UACGUAGGGGGCAAGCGUUAUCCGGAUUUACUGGGUGUAAAGGGAGCGUAGACGGCAUGGCAAGUCUGGAGUGAAAACCCAGGGCUCAACCUUGGGAUUGCUUUGGAAACUGUCAAGCUGGAGUGCCGGAGAGGUAAGCGGAAUUCCUAGUGUAGCGGUGAAAUGCGUAGAUAUUAGGAGGAACACCAGUGGCGAAGGCGGCUUACUGGACGGUAACUGACGUUGAGGCUCGAAAGCGUGGGGAGCAAACAGG
rnacentral:rRNA from 1 species